AGGUAUCAUCUGAUACAGGCCCCGAUGUAGGUAUCAUCUGAUACAGGCCCCGAUGUAGGUAUCAUCUGAUACAGGCCCCGAUGUAGGUAUCAUCUGAUACAGGCCCCGAUGUAGGUAUCAUCUGAUACAGGCCCCGAUGUAGGUAUCAUCUGAUACAGGCCCCGAUGUAGGUAUCAUCUGAUACAGGCCCCGAUGUAGGUAUCAUCUGAUACAGGCCCCGAUGUAGGUAUCAUCUGAUACAGGCCCCGAUGUAGGUAUCAUCUGAUACAGGCCCCGAUGUAGGUAUCAUCUGAUACAGGCCCCGAUGUAGGUAUCAUCUGAUACAGGCCCCGAUGUAGGUAUCAUCUGAUACAGGCCCCGAUGUAGGUAUCAUCUGAUACAGGCCCCGAUGUAGGUAUCAUCUGAUACAGGCCCCGAUGUAGGUAUCAUCUGAUACAGGCCCCGAUGUAGGUAUCAUCUGAUACAGGCCCCGAUGUAGGUAUCAUCUGAUACAGGCCCCGAUGUAGGUAUCAUCUGAUACAGGCCCCGAUGUAGGUAUCAUCUGAUACAGGCCCUGAUGUAGGUGUCAUCUAUGCAUAGUCACUUCACCCCCACCUACAUGCACAAAUUACCUCAACUAACCUGUACCCCCAAACACUGACACUACCAGUGCCCCCUGUAUAUAGCCUCCACACUGACUCGGUACUGGUGCCCCCUGUAUAUAGCCUCCACACUGACUCGGUACUGGUGCCCCCUGUAUAUAGCCUCCACACUGACUCGGUACCGGUGCCCCCUGUAUAUAGCCUCCACACUGACUCGGUACCGGUGCCCCCUGUAUAUAGCCCCGUUACGGUUAUUCAUAUUGUGUUACUUUUUAUUAUUACUUUUUAUUUUAGUCUACUUGGUAAAUAUUUUCUUAACUCUUCUUGAACUGCACUGUCGGUUAAGGGCUUGCGUUUCAUGGUAAAGUCUACACUUGUUGUAUUCGGAGCAUGUGACACAAAGUUUGAUCUGAUACAGGUUCUUAUCUAUGUACCAUCUGAUACAGGUUCUUAUCUAGAUAUCAUCUGAUACAGGUUCUUAUCUAGGUACCAUCUGAUACAGGUUCUUAUCUAGGUACCAUCUGAUACAGGUUCUUAUCUAGGUACCAUCUGAUACAGGUUCUUAUCUAGGUACCAUCUGAUACAGGUUCUUAUCUAGGUACCAUCUGAUACAGGUUCUUAUCUAGGUACCAUCUGAUACAGGUUCUUAUCUAGGUACCAUCUGAUACAGGUUCUUAUCUAGGUACCAUCUGAUACAGGUUCUUAUCUAGGUACCAUCUGAUACAGGUUCUUAUCUAGGUACCAUCUGAUACAGGUUCUUAUCUAGGUACCAUCUGAUACAGGUUCUUAUCUAGGUACCAUCUGAUACAGGUUCUUAUCUAGGUAUCAUCUGAUACAGGUUCUUAUCGAGGUACCAUCUGAUACAGGUUCUUAUCUAGGUAUCAUCUGAUACAGGUUCUUAUCUAGGUAUCAUCGGAUACAGGUUCUUAUCUAGGUAUCAUCGGAUACAGGUUCUUAUAUAGGUACCAUCUGAUACAGGCCCUGAUGUAGGUACCAUCUGAUACAGGUUCUUAUCUAGGUACCAUCUGAUACAGGUUCUUAUCUAGGUACCAUCUGAUACAGGUUCUUAUCUAGGUACCAUCUGAUACAGGUUCUUAUCUAGGUAUCAUCUGAUACAGGUUCUUAUCUAGGUAUCAUCUGAUACAGGCCCUGAUGUAGGUAAGGGAGAAACUUGUUUCUUCAACAUAAUAAAGAGCAACACUGUGUUGAAAAUAUGCUGUAAUAGCGCUUUUUGUAAUUCUGACUUCCCCAGAACUGGAGCCUGGUGCAACUGGUGUUGCUCACCACAACUAUGGCAUCACAUCUGGGGAAUUAAGUUGUUCCCAGACUCUGGUUACUGCAGGUUAGGUGGUCUGCAACACAUCCAGUCUCGUCCAGUUGGCUACAGUAGGUACAGUAUCUAGUGUAGCUCGAGGACAACCUCCAAAUUCUUUCAAAUAAAACAGACGAUUCUACAAUGGUGCUCGCAUUAGGAAGUUGAAUUUGUUUGCUAGCGUUGAUCAGUGGCUGAGAGAAGAACAAACACGACGCAGACUAACAAGCAAGGUGAAGUAGUAACCAAACAUCACACCUCAGAGUAUAACAUUACAGCCAAAACACUGGAAUUGGUUCAGGGAAGUGCACUGCUUGGUAAAUAACGAAAGAUACAUUAAUGUCAGGCCAAUGUAUGCAGGCUUGUGUCUCUGUAUAUAUAAACUGUUAUAUUUACAGUCAUGUUUUCAUGCAUGUUCCGAUUGUAAAUAGACGAUAAAUAAAUAAAUAUCUAUCAGACAUAAACGAUAUAGUAGAUGACUAAAGACCUAGCUGUGUGUUACACAUCUCCAGUCUCACUGAGCCAUGUAUAGGGUGCAUCCCAAAUGGAACCCAUUCCCUACAUACCGCAGCACACUUCUUUUGACCAGAGCCCUAUGGGAAUAUGGUGCCAUUUUGAAUUCACCCAGAGACUGGGAGAGAAGGCACAAUAGGCAGUAAACAAACAUUCAUCACUAAUUCAUUAGAGUACAAACAUCAUUUCUCACACACACAACAUUCCCAUGUUUGCCUGCCAGGUCAAAACACAUUUCUCAUGGCUACAUCUUCUAUCUUCUCGACCAGAAUGAAUCACAGGCGCUUCAAUUCCCUCACCACUAAACCUUGUGGGGACAAAACAUUCAGUCCCAUUCAAAAUCCUAUUUCCAUAAACACUAACCCUUACUCUUACCCUAACCCAAAAACCUAACCCUAAAACUAACCCUAAACAUAAUUAACCCUAACACUAAUUCUAACCUUAACCCCAAAACCCAUAGAAAUAGCAUUUGACCUCGUGGGAACUAACAACAUUUCCCCAGUUAGUCAACUUUUUGUUUGUUUACUAUUCGUUUUUUUGUUGUUGAAAUUUUACCCCUUUUUCGUGGUAUCGAAUUGUUUUAGUCGCUACUAUCUUGUCUCAUCGCUACAACUCCCAUACGGGCUCGGGAGAGACGAAGGUUGAAAGUCAUGCGUCCUCCGAAACACAACCCAACCAAGCCGCACUGCUUCUUAACACAGCGCGCAUCCAACCCGGAAGCCAGCCGCACCAAUGUGUCGGAGGAAACACAGUGCACCUGGCAACCUGGUUGACUUCAAGCCUAUCAACUCCCAAGAUUAGGCUGGCAAUACUAAAGUACCUAUUAGAACAUCCAAUAGUCAAAGGUAUAUGAAAUACAACAUGGUAUAGAGAGAAAUAGUCCUAUAAUAACUACAACCUAAAACUUCUUACCUGGGAAUAUUGAAGACUCAUGUUAAAAGGAACCACCAGCUUUCAUAUGUUCUCAUGUUCUGAGCAAGGAACUUAAACGUUAGCUUUUUUACAUGGCACAUAUUGCACUUUUACUUUCUUCUCCAACACUUUGUUUUUGCAUUAUUUAAACCAAAU